GCUCUCGAGGAACGGCUCGCGAAGCGAGUGCCAGGAGGUGCCGGCGUGUGAAAAAUGCGUAUUUUUAUGGCUGGCUUUUCGUAAAUAUUACAAUGAAUAUUAUAUGUGUAAUGUUAGAAAGUUAUGCUGUAUUAAUUCUCUUAAGUAGUGUGUUAAAUAUAUUUCUAGGUUAUAACACAAUGUUAAAAUAGUAACUAUGUAUGUGGUUGUUUUUUUUUUUUUUAAGAAUAAGAUACUCACUUUGAGGUAACAGUCACACAACACCUAAAUCUUCCAGAGAAGAGGAAUUUAUGUUUUCUUAUCAGAAGAAGCUAAUUUCUUCAGGCCUUGUUCAUACUCGAAGACACCAUGGGGAUUGAAAGAAGCAGCUGACAUAUACCAGACAGAAUUUCUUGUUUUAAAUAGAAGCUAUGCAUAACCAUGAAGUACGUAUGAAUAUGCAACAGUGUAUGGUUUUUAAGGGUUAAUCCUUUGUUCACACAACAUGUUUUUGGCAGCUUAGUGCCCAAAAACAUCCAGACGUCCAUAAUUCUUUGCUUUUUAUUGUCUUGUAAUUGUCCUAACUCUAAAUGGUGUACCAACCAUUUCCACUCUGCGAUGGUCUAAUUUCUAUGUAUGCAAUCACAACCCGUGACCAAGGGUUACACAUAUAUUUACUGUGGGAGUGUAUUUCUGUCACAAUUUUGUGUGCCUAAAAGCAUGUCUUUGUUUUCUCACUAUACAAAUGGAUAAGACAUAGAUACUAUGUUUACUAACUAAUGUUGUUCUGGUCUGGGUGCCUUCUCCACAGUUGUUUCUUCUUUUGUUAGAAAGGUUUCUUAGGAGUUAUUAUAUGCUGACAUUUGUUUGAGGGUUUUUUUAUCUUAAAUGAUAGAAUUGUGCUUUGAUAAUACAAAUUUCCAGUAUACUCUAUGUGAUUUUUUUUUCCUUCUGCAUAAUUUUUCCAAAUUAAAACAGGCAAACUGGCAUUUGAGAUCAGUUUGCAGCAGCACAGUCAUUAUAUACCCCUACUGCUUUUCCAAACCUGCAACUUGAGAAACUUUAAUGUUUUACCUCUUGAAUAAAAUGUUUAAUGUAACCAUACAAAGCUAUUUUUUCAAGGUCCAAGAGUGUGCCCCCUGGAUGCAGGAAACCAGAUCCUUGCCUGUAAUUAAGCAAAUUAUGUCAAUACAAUCUAUUUUGUAUUCUGUAUUUCAGGGAGCAAGCCACUGUAAACUGAGGUCUUUUGCCAUUGUGGAAUAUCCUCCCUGGGAUCAAGCUGGAGCAGUGUGGAAGUCUUCUCUGGGAAAGGAGUCAAGGAAUGCCAGAGCAGCAUCACAACCAAAUGAGUUUAUUUUAUAAUCUGGUAACCAGGGCACAUAGACAAACUUCUCUGGGAGCUUCAGGAUUAGGCUGGGGAGGAAGAUGGUUGGAAGAAACUCUGAACACAAAGCUUGUUUAAAUACAUAAAAGGAAUACUCUUGGCUCUGUUUCUGCUUGUGGCUUGGUAAUGUCAUUCCAGGAAUUACAUCUGAAUGUUACGUACUGCUCAAGCAAUUUAAAAGCUAAGAUAACUUUCCUGAUUGAGAAUAUAGGUAUAGAUCUACUACCUCUAGGUUGUACCGUCUGUAGGAAAACCCAAACCUCAGAGUUGUAUUUAAUUUUGAAAUAGAAAACUGAAACCUGUUCCAAGGGACAGUAAGAAAACUCACAUAGUUAUGUUCAAUAAAUAACAAUGAUACAACCUUGCUUAUUGCAGCUUGCUGUCAUUGCAGGUUUGACCCAGGAAACUAAGUCAUGCACUGCUGAAAUAUCCUCUCCUUAGAUACUAAUGUGACCAGUUAUUGAGUGAGAGGCAGCUCACCCACACAACUGCUUUCUAGUGAGGAACAAGUGAACAAUGGGUUGGAUCUGCCAUCACCUGUACAGAAAACUUGUUAAGCUUGCAUGUCUUUAAGGUCCCUUUACAAAGGAGAAAAAAUAACAACAGAGACUCACACCAACCACAUUCUUCUCCAAGGACUGCUUGUGGGAGGCUGAGAUUAUCUGGUGAUUCAUUUUAUCAGCCAGAAAAAGUAUGGGAAAAACUGCCCCAAAAUGAGUAAUAGAAAUGGGAAGACUGAAUGGAAAAUUGCAGUGCUCAGUAAGAAUCUUAAGUUGAGGUUGGUCUUGUGCAGAUGAGCAACAAAAGAAAAACCCUGGAAGAAAUAUCACCCUUUUCUUUGAAGUCUUGAAGUAAGGUUUGAAAUCUUCUGUUUCCAAGCACUAAUCAUGCAUAGCAAGGUUUACCCA